GUCAAGAUAAAAUAAGACAAUAUUAAUAGCAAGAUAUCACCCCUCUCCACUGUUCUUUAGAUAAUUUCCAACCACAGUGACAAGACUCUGGAGCCACCUAAAUACACAUGGCAGACCUUGCAGAGCAAGGUUUCCUGGAUGGCAUGGGUUGUGCUUGUAAGGUCCCCGUGUAAGGACUCUUUGGUGGAGUACAGCGAUUGGCUCGCCGUAGAUCUGUGUGUGUAGC